AGUCCAUUCUCAUAUUGUUAUAAAACAAUAACUAAGACUGAGUAAUUUAUAAAGAAAAGAGGUUUAAUUGGCUAGGUUCUGAAGGCUGUACAGAAAGCAUGGGUGGGGAGGCCUCAGGAAACUUA